GAUGAACGCUGGCGGCGUGCCUAAUACAUGCAAGUCGAACGAACGACCGAGAAGCUUGCGGCUCUGAUGUUAAAGGCGGACGGGUGAGUAACACGUCGAGAACCUGACUAUAAGACUGGGAUAAGUACGGGGAACCGGAGCUGAUAACGACUAAUAUUUUGAACCGCAUGGUUCAAAAGUGAAAGACGGUCUUGCUUGCACUCAUAGAUGGUCAGGCGCUGCAUUGGGUAGUUGGCAAGGUAACGGCGUACCAAGGCAAGGAUGCAUAGCCGAACGGAGAGGGUGUGCGGCGACACUGGAACUGAGUCACGCUCCAGACUCCUACGGGAGGCAGCGGUAGGGAGCCUUCGGCAAUAGUCGACAGCCUGAGGGAGCAAGGCGGCGUGAGGGAGGAUGGUCUACGAAGCGUAAAGCUCUGUUAUCAGGGAAGAACAUAGGUGUAAGUGGCUGUGGAGAUCGUGACGGUACCUGCAGAGAAAGCGACGGCUAACUACGUG
rnacentral:rRNA from 1 species